rnacentral:tRNA from 1 species
GCCCCCAUCGUCUAGAGGCCUAGG